rnacentral:rRNA from 1 species
GAUGACGCUGGCGGCGUGCCUAAUACAUGCAAGUCGAGCGAGCGCCGGACGGCUGCGUAAUGUCUGGGCACCCGCCUGAUGGAGAGGGAUAACUACUGGAAACGGUCGCUAAUACCGCAUACCCUCAGAUGUGCCCCGAUGGGAUUAGCUAGUAGGUGGGGUAAUGGCUCACCUGGGCGACGAUCCCUAGCUGGUCUGAGAGGAUGACCAGCCGCACGUGAACGGAGACACGGUCCAUACUCCUGCGGGAGGGAGCAGUGGGGUAUAUGGCACAAUGGGCGCAAGCCUGAGGCAGGCAGGCCGCGUGUGUGAAGACGGCCUGCGGGUUGUAAAGCACUUUCAGCGAGGAGGCGUUACUCGCAGAAGAAGCACCGGCUAACUCCGUGCCAGCCGCCGCGGUAAUUC